rnacentral:rRNA from 1 species
AUUGAACGCUGGCGGCAGGCCUAACACAUGCAAGUCGAGCGGAUGACGGGAGCUUGCUCCUUGAUUCAGCGGCGGACGGGUGAGUAAUGCCUAGGAAUCUGCCUGGUAGUGGGGGACAACGUUUCGAAAGGAACGCUAAUACCGCAUACGUCCUACGGGAGAAAGCAGGGGACCUUCGGGCCUUGCGCUAUCAGAUGAGCCUAGGUCGGAUUAGCUAGUUGGUGGGGUAAUGGCUCACCAAGGCGACGAUCCGUAACUGGUCUGAGAGGACGAUCAGUCACACUGGAACUGAGACACGGUCCAGACUCCUACGGGAGGCAGCAGUGGGGAAUAUUGGACAAUGGGCGAAAGCCUGAUCCAGCCGUGCCGCGUGUGUGAAGAAGGUCUUCGGAUUGUAAAGCACUUUAAGUUGGGAGGAAGGGUAGUAAGUUAAUACCUUGCUGUUUUGACGUUACCGACAGAAUAAGCACCGGCUAACUCUGUGCCAGCCGCCGCGGUAA